rnacentral:rRNA from 1 species
GAUGAACGCUGGCGGCGUGCCUAAUACAUGCAAGUCGAGCGAAUGGAUUAAGAGCUUGCUCUUAUGAAGUUAGCGGCGGACGGGUGAGUAACACGUGGGUAACCUGCCCAUAAGACUGGGAUAACUCCGGGAAACCGGGGCUAAUACCGGAUAACAUUUUGAACCGCAUGGUUCGAAAUUGAAAGGCGGCUUCGGCUGUCACUUAUGGAUGGACCCGCGUCGCAUUAGCUAGUUGGUGAGGUAACGGCUCACCAAGGCAAAGAUGCGUAGCCGACCUUAGAGGGGGGUCGGCCAAACGGAGACUGAGACACGGCCGAGACUGCGACGGGGGGCAGCGGUAGGGAAUCUUCCGCAAUGGACGAAAGUCUGACGGAGCAACGCCGCGUGAGUGAUGAAGGCUUUCGGGUCGUAAAACGCUGUUGUUAGGGAAGAACAAGUGCUAGUUGAAUAAGCUGGCACCUUGACGGUACCUAACCAGAAAGCCACGGCUAACUACGUGCCAGCCGCCGCCGUAA